AUGAUUUUGCUGAAAGAAUCGAGGCGCACGACUCGACCUUGGGUAUCGAUCGAUAGAAACGAAGCUGGCUGCUUGUCCUCGAGGUGCAAAAAAUAAUAAGGGUCGUCUUCGAUUAUGAUGAAAUCGUAUUGUUUCGCAAAUGAACUCACCGCACCAAGAGUCGCCGUGUAAGCCGGUGUUUGAACCAUGAUGGGUUCGCCCUCGUUCAAGAAGAGAUCGAGAAGUUUGCAGAAACCUUCUUGCGAGCCAGGCAUGAAGAUGACGUCGAGCUCUUUGACAGCUGACUGACAUUGCUGUGAUGGGAAACGACGCAGGAUUGGGCAUUCCGGCAGCGAGGGAAAUGGCUUCUGGAUUAAUCGACCGCAUUUCCGCUGAAGAGAAACAACACCGAAUUUCAGACUACGUUCGUCGGAACCGUUUGGUGAAAGCGUCGCGAAUACGAGAGGGUCAAACGCGAUGGAGACCUUUCUUCGUGAGCACCGGCCAACACAAUAUUAAAAUUGAUGGAUUCAAUGGCAGCCGCAGCGUCGAGUAUCUCAAAGAGUUUUGAGAUCGUGUUGUACGAGGAGAUUAAUAUCACAACACACGCCUCGUAUCGAGUCUUGGCGUCUCGGAGAUAACGUUAUCUCGUCACAUUUCCACGAGCGUCGAGCAGCAUCUCAUUCGAAAAGUCACGCGAACCCGAAACGUCAAAAUAUAUUCAUUGAGACUUU